UACGUAGGGUGCGAGCGUUGUCCGGAAUUACUGGGCGUAAAGGGUGCGCAGGCCGCGCGGGCAGUCAAAUGUGUAAUCCAGGGGCUCAACCCCUGAACUGCGCUUGAUACUUCCGCGCUCGAGCUUUGGAGAGGAGUCUGGAGUUCUCGGUGUAGCAGUGAAAUGCGUGGAUAUCGAGAAGAACACUUAGGGCGUAGGCAAGACUCUGGACAAAUGCUGACGCUCAUGCACGAAGGCUAGGGUAGCGAACGGG
rnacentral:rRNA from 1 species